UUGCUAGGAUGAUUACACCAAUUUUUCACCAGAAUCUCAAUGUUGGCAUGAAAAACGAGCUUUUUAAAUCUGAGCAAG